rnacentral:lncRNA from 1 species
GUAAACCAAAUGUUUUAAUACUUCAUGUGAGUUUUAUAACCGUACUAUUGACCCAGACUGCCUGUAACAACAUUCUUUAGGCGUUGGAAUAAUAUGACGUUUGUCACCCCAGACCUGCCGGUCNNNNNNNNCCCCCCCAGCCUGCCGGUCCAACUGUAGCUAACAGUUUACGUACGGGAUUGUCAAUCCCGUAUAGAUCUAUACACAAGUAUCACGCUCUCCCUACAGGAGAUUAUGAUUUAUAACACAAGACUUAAAAUGCAUACUUG